AUGCACAUAUAUGUUUCUCUAAAGGCACUAGAUCCCAUCUGAUCUUGGAAGCUAAGCAAAGCGAGCUCUGGUUACUACUUGAAUGGGACUCUGCUAACAAAUACCAGGUAUGUGGGCU
rnacentral:rRNA from 1 species